rnacentral:rRNA from 1 species
GAUGAACGCUAGCUACAGGCUUAACACAUGCAAGUCGAGGGACCGGCGCACGGGUGAGUAACACGUAUCCAACCUGCCCUUUACUCGGGGAUAGCCUUUCGAAAGAAAGAUUAAUACCCGAUAUAAAGGAUGGGGAUGCGUUCCAUUAGGUUGUUGGUGAGGUAACGGCUCACCAAGCCUUCGAUGGAUAGGGAUUCUGAGAGGAAGGUCCCCCACAAUGGAACUGAGACACGGUCCACACUCGUACGCGAGGCAGCAGUGAGGAAUAUAGUUCAAUAGGCGGUAGCCUGAACCAGCCAAGUAGCGGUAAGAAUGAAUGCUUAUGGGUCGUAUUCUUCUUUUAUAUAAGAAUAUGUAUUAUAUGAAUAAGGAUCGGCUAACUCCGUGCCAGCAGCCGCGGUAAUUC